rnacentral:tRNA from 1 species
GGAUUGUGGUUCAGCGGUAGAACGCUGAGCACCACUGGGACCGGAGGGACCCGGGUUCGAUUCUCAGCACCA